UACGGGGGGAGCAAGCGUUGUUCGGAUUUACUGGGCGUAAAGGGCGCGUAGGCGGCGUGACAAGUCACUUGUGAAAUCUCCGGGCUUAACUCGGAACGGUCAAGUGAUACUGUCGUGCUAGAGUACAGAAGGGGCAACUGGAAUUCUCGGUGUAGCGGUGAAAUGCGUAGAUAUCGAGAGGAACACCUGCGGCGAAGGCGGGUUGCUGGGCUGAUACUGACGCUGAGGCGCGAAAGCUAGGGGGAGCGAACAGG
rnacentral:rRNA from 1 species